CACGUAGGGUGCGAGCGUUGUCCGGAAUUAUUGGGCGUAAAGAGCUCGUAGGCGGUGUGUCGCGUCGGCCGUGAAAACCUGCAGCUUAACUGUGGGCUUGCGGUCGAUACGGGCAUCACUGGAGUUCGGCAGGGGAGACUGGAAUUCCUGGUGUAGCGGUGAAAUGCGCAGAUAUCAGGAAGAACACCCGUGGCGAAGGCGGUUCUCUGGGACGGUACUGACGCUGAGACGCGAAAGCGUGGGGAGCGAACAGG
rnacentral:rRNA from 1 species